UGAAUUUCCAUGUGUUGUGGGAGGGACCCAGCGGUAAUUGAAUCAUGGAGGCAGGUCUUUCUCUUGCUGUUCUAGUGAUAGUGAGUAAGUCUCACGAGAUCUGAUGGCUUUAAAAAGAGCAGUUCCCCUGCACAAGCUCUCUCUCUUUGCCUGCUGCCAUCCAUGUUAAGAUGUGACUUGCUCCUCCUUGCCUUCUGCCAUGAUUGUGAGGCUUCCCCAGCCAUGUCGAACUGAUUCUUAUGAAGACAAAUUAGAGCACCUGUCACUAUAGCCAGCACUCAAGAAAUGGGAUUAUUAUCAGAGGGAAAAAUGCACAGCCUCACCAGCUAUUAAACAUAUGGAAAUGAUGACAAUUUAAAGCUUAUAAAUAACAUUAGUGGUGGCCUGGAUUUAUUGUUGUGGCCUCUGGAAGAACUUGGGGGUCCGAAGUUGUUAAUCGGUGAAUUGUUCAUGAAGGACAGUGCUCACUGUGAAGGUGUGUGUCCUGGGAUGCUCUGCCUGGCCCACGGCAGACAAGGCUGUGGCCUGACAUCCCUCAGCCUGUCCUCAUUUUCCUGGCUCUGAGAAGAAGCUACAA